GAUGAACGCUGGCGGCGUGCCUAAUACAUGCAAGUCGAGCGGUAAGGCCCUUCGGGUACGACGAGCGGCGGACGGCUGAGUAACACGUAGGAACGUACCCCAAACCUAGAGGGAUAAGCACCAGAAAUGGUGUCUAAUACCGCAUGUGAUCUUCGGAUUAAAGCUUCGGCGGUUUGGGAACGGCCUGCGCAUGAUUAGCUUGUUGGUGAGGUAAUUGCUCACCAAGGCGACGAUCAUUAGCUGGUCUGAGAGGAUGACCAGCCAGACUGGAACUGAGAACGGUCCAGACUCCUACGGGAGGCAGCAGUAGGGAAUUUUCCACAAUGGGCGAAAGCCUGAUGGAGCAACGCCGCGUGCAGGAUGAAUGUCUUCGGAUUGUAAACUGCUUUUAUAUGUGACGAUAAUGACGGUAGCAUAUGAAUAAGGAUCGGCUAACUCCGUG
rnacentral:rRNA from 1 species